GUCUUUUUGAGUCUAAAAUUUAAAGUCCAAUCUGCUCACUGAAUUAUUAAAGAGCCGCAGUAUUUUGACUGUGCAAAGGUAGCAUAAUCAAUAGUUUUUUAAUUGAGAACUUGUAUGAAAGAUUAGACGAAAAAUGUUUUUUCUUUAUUUUAAGAAUUUAAUUUUAAGUUUAAGUUAAAAUGCUUAAAUAAAUUUAAAAGACGAGAAGACCCUAUAGAUUUUAAUUAUUAAAAUAAAUUCUAUAUAUUUGUUUGUUGAUAUAAUUUAAUUGGGGCGAUUUUGUAAUAUGAAAAACUUAAAUUUGUAAUACCAUAAAUAAUUGAAGAUUUUGAUCUAAAUAUUUUUAAAGAAAGAUUAAAUUACCUUAGGGAUAACAGCGUAAUUUUAUUUAAGAGUUCAUAUCUAUAAUAAAGUUUGCGACCUCGAUGUUGAAUUAAGAUAAUAUACUGGAGCAGAAAUUAGUAAUAAUUAGUCUGUUCGACUAUUAAAUUCU
rnacentral:rRNA from 1 species